rnacentral:rRNA from 1 species
UACGUAGGGUGCAAGCGUUAAUCGGAAUUACUGGGCGUAAAGCGUGCGCAGGCGGUUUUGUAAGUCUGUUGUGAAAUCCCCGGGCUUAACCUGGGAACUGCAUUGGUGACUGGCAGGCUUUGAGUGUGGCAGAGGGAGGUAGAAUUCCACGUGUAGCAGUGAAAUGCGUAGAGAUGUGGAGGAAUACCGAUGGCGAAGGCAGCCUCCUGGGCCAACACUGACGCUCAUGCACGAAAGCGUGGGGAGCAAACAGG